rnacentral:tmRNA from 1 species
GGGGGUGUACCGGUUUCGACUGGUGGAUGUCCGGGUCAGGGGCUGCAGGUGGAGAGUACGUCUCCUAAAACCGUGCAAAAAAACAACUGCAGAAGACAACUUCGCACUAGCUGCCUAACGGCAGCGAGGGACUUGGGAAACGCCGUGCUGAGGGUCCCAUACUCCCACAUAAACCAGCGCUAGCUUACAUCGGUGUUCAGGGCGAUGUGGGGACUAAAUCUUGAACGUGGAAGAGCGUAGGUAGGCCGAAUCGCCAGCGCUUCUUUCGAGAACCAAGUAUUCGGAUAAACCUGUAGAGGCUUCUGGUCCGCCCACUAGGACGGGGGUUCGACUCCCCUCACCUCCAUUU